AUUACACUCACCUGCUCUCCCGAUUCGGCUGGUUCACCAACUCUAACCACAUCUUCUGGUAUAUUCACCACACAACGGAACACAUCAUAACUGGGUGGCAAUUUACCGGAUUCAAACAUCAUUCUAAAAACAACACGCCACAACAACAACAAAAUGUCUUUUCAAUGGUAAUUUGCUAACUGAAUUGAACUUCAUUGGUUUUCUGGAAAUCAUUCCUAGUGUAUAGGUAUUUACUUCGAUGAAUGUUAAAGAAGUAUUUUCCUUCGAUAAUGAACCGUGCAUUGGAACUGAGAAAGUUCAUUUUAUUUCCAUUGAUUUCUUUUGAAAGGAGAAUUAACAAAUUAUUCCAUAAGUUCUUAAAAAGGGGAGCGAAUGAUUUUUCCAUUGGAAUAAUAUUGUCCCCUUAUAAUAAACCAUUGGAAAAGGUGUUCUUAAGAGUUUAAACAUUUUGAGAAAACCAUGGUGAAAAGCUUUUCUCCAUUUUUAUGAAUUUUAUAUUUUAUAUAGUAAACAACAAAUCAUGUUUUAUACCCUACACCACAAUUGAGAGGUUUGUAUGAAAACAUUAGUGCUACAGAUCGCAAUUACAAAGACAAAUUUCAAUAAAUAUGCGUUACAGUCUAUAGCACCAAGGAGGAAGGAAGUCUCUUGGCUUCAUUGUGUUCUCUCCAAAUAAUUUUUUUCGUAGAUGCAAAAAAUUCCCUAUAAGAAUAUUUUAACUAUAAAAUAAAUUGUUUAAAUAAUUCACACAAAUC